rnacentral:rRNA from 1 species
GUAGUCUCGCACAGAUGCAUAUCAAUAAGCGGAGGAAAAGAAACUAACAAGGAUUCCCUUAGUAACGGCGAGUGAAGCGGGAAGAGCUCAAAUUUGAAAUCUUCAAGGUUUUACCUUGACGAAUUGUAGUUUAAAGAAGUGUUUUCUGUUGAAGUUUUGGUAAAAGUUCUUUGGAAUAGGACAUCAUAGAGGGUGAGAAUCCCGUAUUUGACCAUUAUUUUCAGCUGUGUGAUACACUUUCAAAGAGUCGGAUUGUUUGGGAAUGCAGUCCAAAAUGGGUGGUAAAUUUCAUCUAAAGCUAAAUAUUGGCGAGAGACCGAUAGCGAACAAGUACCGUGAGGGAAAGAUGAAAAGAACUUUGAAAAGAGAGUUAAACAGUACGUGAAAUUGUCAAAAGGGAAGCGUUUGACACCAGUGUUGUUUUUCUGAAAAUCAAUUAAAGAACUGUUUAUGCUAAGUUGUUUAGACUUUAUCAGCUAACUGUUUAGUUUUGAGCUUUUCUUUAAUGCACUUUUCAGUUAACAAGUCAACAUCAAUUUCUUUUGUUGUAAAAAGGUCAUUGGAAGGUGGCUUUCUUUUCGGAGAAAGUGUUUAUAGCCUUUGACUCCUGCAAUCGGAGAGACUGAGGUCUGCAGCGUAGAUCCUUCGGGGUUAGAUACAUUUGUGCUAAGUUAUAGCUUUUUAUAGACAACUUGUUGACUAUGAUUAGUCUUGUAGCUUACUCGCUUAUGCUAUUUUACCUACGCUUAGGAUGUUGAGCGCAUGUCUCUCUCU